GCGCUCGCUUCGGCAGCACGUGCACUAAAAUCGGAGCCAUACAGAGAAGAUCAGCAUGGCCCCUGUGCAAGGAUGACACGCAAAUUCGUGAAGCGUUCCGUGUUUUG